rfam:Schistosoma curassoni strain Dakar, Senegal genome assembly, scaffold: SCTD_scaffold0005601
AUCUGGCUGGCGAAUCCCAAAUAGGGCGAAACGCACGUCCUGGAU